CAGUCGCCGCGGGAAAACGUAGGUGGCAAGCGUUGUCCGGAAUUAUUGGGCGUAAAGGGCUCGCAGGCGGUUUCUUAAGUCUGAUGUGAAAGCCCCCGGCUCGACCGGGGAGGGUCAUUGGAAACUGGGAAACUUGAGUGCAGAAGAGGAGAGUGGAAUUCCACGUGUAGCGGUGAAAUGCGUAGAGAUGUGGAGGAACACCAGUGGCGAAGGCGACUCUCUGGUCUGUAACUGACGCUGAGGAGCGAAAGCGUGGGGAGCAAAUGGGAUUAGAUACCCCUGUAGUCCCUGUCUCUUAUCC
rnacentral:rRNA from 1 species